rnacentral:rRNA from 1 species
GACGAACGCUGGCGGCGUGCUUAACACAUGCAAGUCGAACGGAAAGGCCCUGCUUGCAGGGUACUCGAGUGGCGAACGGGUGAGUAACACGUGGGUGAUCUGCCCUGCACUUCGGGAUGAGCCUGGGAAACUGGGUCUAAUACCGGAUAGGAGCCAUUUUUAGUGUGAUGGUUGGAAAGUUUUUUCGGUGUAGGAUGAGCUCGCGGCCUAUCAGCUUGUUGGUGGGGUAAUGGCCUACCAAGGCGGCGACGGGUAGCCGGCCUGAGAGGGUGGACGGCCACAUUGGGACUGAGAUACGGCCCAGACUCCUACGGGAGGCAGCAGUGGGGAAUAUUGCACAAUGGGCGCAAGCCUGAUGCAGCGACGCCGCGUGGGGGAUGACGGCCUUCGGGUUGUAAACUCCUUUCGCUAGGGACGAAGCUUUUUGUGACGGUACCUAGAUAAGAAGCACCGGCUAACUACGU